AGCAGAUACGAGCACGCGAUCCAUCUUACAGUUAUAGAAUCACUGAGACAUAGAAAAUACAUCAUUAAUUCUUCUCUACAUUUUGUUUUAUUUCUUUUUCUUCCAUCAAUAUUUGUUCCCCAACUUCUCCACACCAUUAUCAUCACUUUUCCCCACCACUACUCAAUUUUUUUCCACUACAACAACUUCUCCACCGCACCACUAAUUCACCUCCAUUCUACACUAACUCCACGAGAAGAGCAGGAGAACUUCACUCAUCUUCUGCAAGCAUCCAAGAAAAUCCUCAUCUGUCCAUCGUUCCAUCAAAGACAAGAAAGCAAACUUGAAAAUCAACCAAAGAGAAAAACCCAGCAAGUGUAGAUCUUUCUAAAGUUUCAAGCAUUUGUUACUCCAGCUAACAAUGGAAGAAGUAAAAUAAACCAUCAGUUCAUUUCCCUGCCAAAACUUCAAGAGGUAAAUUUGGCUUUAAUUCAUCCACUUAAAUUCUUAUACUCCUGUAAGUAUUGAGAAAAGCCAACAACCUUCUAUUUCAGUUAUCAUCAAUUCAACCACAGCAACAUUCCACCGAAACAAACAUUCAAGGUGAUCAAUCUA
rnacentral:lncRNA from 1 species